rnacentral:rRNA from 1 species
AUUGGACGCUGGCGGCAGGCCUAACACAUGCAAGUCGAGCGGAUGAAGGGAGCUUGCUCCUGGAUUCAGCGGCGGACGGGUGAGUAAUGCCUAGGAAUCUGCCUGGUAGUGGGGGAUAACGUCCGGAAACGGGCGCUAAUACCGCAUACGUCCUGAGGGAGAAAGUGGGGGAUCUUCGGACCUCACGCUAUCAGAUGAGCCUAGGUCGGAUUAGCUAGUUGGUGGGGUAAAGGCCUACCAAGGCGGCGAUCCGUAACUGGUCUGAGAGGAUGAUCAGUCACACUGGAACUGAGACACGGUCCAGACUCCUACGGGAGGCAGCAGUGGGGAAUAUUGGACAAUGGACGAAAGCCUGAUCCAGCCAUGCCGCGUGUGUGAAGAAGGUCUUCGGAUUGUAAAGCACUUUAAGUUGGGAGGAAGGGCAGUAAGUUAAUACCUUGCUGUUUUGACGGUACCAACAGAAUAAGCACCGGCUAACUUCGUG